rnacentral:rRNA from 1 species
AUUGAACGCUGGCGGCAUGCCUAACACAUGCAAGUCGAACGGGGCAGCAAUGCCUAGUGGCGGACGGGUGAGGAAUACGUAGGAAUCUGCCCUUAAGUGGGGGAUAACCAGGGGAAACACUGACUAAUACCGCAUGAUGUCUACGGAGCAAAGGGGGGGACAGCAAGGCCUCUCGCUUCUGGAUGACCCUACGUCUGAUUAGCUAGUUGGUAGGGUAAAGGCCUACCAAGGCGACGAUCAGUAACUGGUCUGAGAGGAUGAUCAGUCACACCGGAACUGAGACACGGUCCGGACUCCUACGGGAGGCAGCAGUGGGGAAUAUUGGACAAUGGGCGCAAGCCUGAUCCAGCAAUGCCGCGUGUGUGAAGAAGGCCUUCGGGUUGUAAAGCACUUUAGCCUGGAAAGAAAAAACUUUGGUUAACACCCAAAGUCUUGACGGUACCAGGAGAAUAAGCACCGGCUAACUCUGUGCCAGCCGCCGCCGUAAUAC